rnacentral:lncRNA from 1 species
GGCUAGUGAAUAGAUGACUGAGAAAAUGUUUGAGUAAGAGAGAUGAAGGAGGGAGAAAGAGUUGAGAGGAAUGAAGGAGGUGAGUAAGGGUUUGAGGUUUUUUUUUAGUUUUGAGAAUGAAAAUUAUUAAAAUAAGGCAAGUGUUUCUGAUUUUUUUCAAGAGCUAGAGUAGGGAUGAGAGAGAAAAUGUUAGAGGGAAAAAGAUGAAAGAGAAAGGGUUGAGAGGAAUGAGAGAGGUGAGUAAGGAUUAGAGUGAUUUUUUUUUUUAAUUUUUUUAAUUUUUUUAAUGAAAAUUAUUAAAAUAGCCUUAACCUUAAAACUUAGAAUUUAUGAUAUAUAAGGAUAUUUUUAUCUACUGAAAUCCGGUACACAUUGCUAAAA